rnacentral:rRNA from 1 species
CGGUCCAGACUCCUACGGGAGGCAGCAGUGGGGAAUAUUGCACAAUGGGCGCAAGCCUGAUGCAGCCAUGCCGCGUGUGUGAAGAAGGCCUUCGGGUUGUAAAGCACUUUCAGCGGGGAGGAAGGCGUUAAGGUUAAUAACCUUGGCGAUUGACGUUACCCGCAGAAGAAGCACCGGCUAACUCCGUGCCAGCAGCCGCGGUAAUACGGAGGGUGCAAGCGUUAAUCGGAAUUACUGGGCGUAAAGCGCACGCAGGCGGUCUGUCAAGUCGGAUGUGAAAUCCCCGGGCUCAACCUGGGAACUGCAUUCGAAACUGGCAGGCUAGAGUCUUGUAGAGGGGGGUAGAAUUCCAGGUGUAGCGGUGAAAUGCGUAGAGAUCUGGAG